CAGUCGCCGCGGUAACACGUAGGGUGCAAGCGUUAAUCGGAAUUACUGGGCGUAAAGCGUGCGCAGGCGGUUAUAUAAGUCAGAUGUGAAAUCCCCGGGCUCAACCUGGGAACUGCAUUUGAGACUGUAUGGCUAGAGUGUGUCAGAAGGGGGUAGAAUUCCACGUGUAGCAGUGAAAUGCGUAGAGAUGUGGAGGAACACCGAUGGCGAAGGCAGCCCCCUGGGCCAAUACUGACGCUCAUGCACGAAAGCGUGGGGAGCAAACAGGAUUAGAUACCCGAGUAGUCCCUGUCUCUUAUAC
rnacentral:rRNA from 1 species